rnacentral:tRNA from 1 species
GCUGGUGUAGCUCAGUCGGUAGAGCGAUUCACUCGUAAUGAAUAGGUCGGGGGUUCAAUUCCUCUCACCAGCACUA